AUGUUCAUGUUAGGAACACCAUCCACAUACAUGACCCACCGGUUGGCGUUAAGCUUUCCUCUACUCCAAUGGUGUCCUGUGUUCAGCACAAGGACAUCAAACCUGGGUAGGAAACGACUCAAAAAUGCUGGCGGACAAUCAAGGUGCAUGGCAUAAUCAGUAACAGGGUUAGAAGCAUUAAUGGGUGUCAAGUUACACAGACUAGCAGACCAAUAGUAAAGAAUAGUUGUUUGGGUACUCGGAAAUCGAUAAGCCCAUCCAUCAGGUCGUACAGCAUGACGAGCCUUUACAAGACCAUAUUCACGUCCCACGUCAAGAACAUCUGGUCUGUCUUCACCACCAGUAAUCAUACACAUAAGUGACUGGAAUUGUUGUCUGCCGAGGGAAUCCCCAAUGAAGGCCAGAGUUUUGUUCUCCAUCCUGGAUCCACAACCAAGUUCAGAAAAUUCCUUGUAUGUAGAAAAAGUGUAGUCAAAUUAAGUAUCACCUGAAGACUUGAAGAAUAUAUCUAUGCAACAAGAAGAAACUUAGACUCGGAAACAUUGUGCAAACAGAAUUUUUUCUUUUCAGACAUUAAUGUGAGAGUAAUGAGGACAACAGGCACUACAGAGAGGGGUUUCACAGUCACAAGUUGCAGUUUAUGUGAGAUAUAAGUUCUAAUCUGUGCGGUUCGCUCAAGCUUACACUACUGCUCUUGGAAAAUACAUGACAAGACAUGGUAGGUACAGUAGUUAUGCCACUCAGGAAAAGAGAGAAAGUUCUAAUAGCUCAUAAGAAUAUACAUCUCAAGCAUCAAAAGGUAAUCAGUUUCAGGAAAAAGACCAUACCUUUUCAAGAAGUUAACACCUGUAAAAUCUUCCAUCUCGCAAUCCCUUGGUCUCCAACGUAGUUUCUCAUAUUCAAAAUCCAUACGCUGUGUCAAUCGGCAAGCCCACAUGGAUGACAACCAUCGCUUGCAGCCAGAUCCAGAAUAUAAAGGCCGACUAUCAUCUGUGACCCAUCUACCUUUAGCAGAAUUACAACCUGGAAAUUAAGAUAAGGGUAUUAGUAACUAAUUACAUAAAAACAAUUGUAACAAAUUCACCAACCAAUUGAGGAUAGGUCGCUUGGCAAACAAGGCCAUUUUUGAGAUUACCCAGAGCCCAAGAAAGGGUGAAAAUUAAUUUAUAACAACAACAACAACAACAAACCCAGUGUAUUCCCACUUAGUGGGGUCUGGGGGGGAAUGCAGACUCAGUGUCAUUUAAUUUAAUUCCCUCAAUCAUUGGCAAAUCAAGCCUUUGUACUUCUUCACGAGUUGACCAUAAAUUAUUAAAUACAAAUUGUUAAGCAAUAAAAAAUGACAACAUUAAGAGUCUAUUAAAGUCAAUAGAAUGAAAUAUAAACAUUAACUCGAAAUAAUGUACUAAAUACUUACCUUGCUAAACAUACCAACCAUGAACUUCUCGUACUUCACCUAAAUCCCAACAACCUUCCAAUUAAAAAUUAUGGAAUUAAAUUUCCAACACGCUCAGCUAUCGUAUUGUCUACCUCAGAACAACAUUCAUAUAUCCAAACAUUCAGCACAUGCGACAUUCCCCCAAUCUGGUAUAACUAUUUUUCAACAAAAAAUCUUAUCUCCACGUUACAAUAAGCUUUUGAAACGAAGAAUUCCCCAAUGGGAAUUGUUCGUACCUUCUAUCCUCAACUAUCACAAAGUCAUAUCUGUUAAUAGUAGCAUCACAUAUUUGUGAAUACACAAAAGUAUGAAUAAAGUAAAGUAUGAAUAUCUUCAAAGCAUCGGUAUUGUUGUCGAAGUUUCCCAACUUGAAUUGCUGUACAAAAAGAAUUUUUUUGAUAGAAUUUUUUUGCACUGGGAAAUACUUCGCCAUUAAUACGGACUUAGAUGAUUCAAUAUAAAGUUUCUUGAUGUUCCAUGUACAUUUAAGUACGGCUAUUAUAGCAAACUCAGUAAUAGUAAACUUGAGAACAGUUUCCUGCACGUAAACAUGAAUUUUAUCCGGAUUAUUUUACUCUAUCUCAAGUAUAAGUAAGCAUUUGGAAAUCGGUCCUUGAAAGUUACACUGAGGCAUGUCUAGAAAGGAACCAAAAAUUAUUUGCUAGAAAAGAUUCUAAACUUCUUCACCAAGUUAAUUCUUUAUAUCUGAUCCAAACCCGCGGUUGCAAUAACUACCGAAAUGCAACGAAUGCGUGGGGAAAUUUUUUAUCUUGUAUUUCAGACCCUAUUGGAAAUUAAAAAGACAUAGUAUGUAAACCUAUAUGGUCAAAACAUAUACAGUACAUAUCAACUAGGCAUUUCAUUACACAUCUAACAACAUCUAACAAGUAGGCUCACAUAUGGUCAAUAAAUAAAAAAUGAUGUAUAUCAACUAGUUAUUUCAUUACAAAUCUAACCACAUAUCAAAAAUUGUGUAUAUGUUAGCCAUAUGCAUAGGUGAUGUCCAUUGCCUCAAAAACACAUAAGAAAAUUGAAAACAUAUACAUAAAAAUAUGAUGUAUAUGAAUUAGGAAGUUCAUUAUAAGUUUAAUAACAUAUAUUGACUUGUAUAUGUUUUACAUAUACAUUUGUAAUGUCCGAUGCCUCAAACACACAUUUCAAUACACAAUCUCAAAAAAUAACUUAUGUAUAUGUUCAACAACAUGUAAUGAAUAAUGUAUGUGUACAAUACAUACAUACUUACUAAUAUAUACACCCAGCAACCACAUAUUUAUAUGAACUACAUAUAUAAUUGUAUUUCAACCAAAUGCAUUAUCAAAUAUGUAUAUGCCGAAUAUAUACAAAGAGUUGUUUUGUAUUUGAACAGGCAGCUUCUAACAUAACUUCAAUUUACGAAAAAAACUCAAAAACUACAUAAGAACUAACAAACCACAACCUAUUAAUUAACAUUUUUAAAACAUCAAAUUACAGAUAAAAAUACAAUAAACCCAGAACAAAAAAUCAAAAUUGAAAAAUCAAAAUACCUUUGAUAAACGUGGCCGUGCGAUAUCAUCUUUUUUGAAUUUUCUUGACGAUUCUCUAAUUUGCUUUUUUGACUUUCCAGCAGCAACUUUGUUAUUCUUUUUCAUCUUGAUGGGGUCGUUACGAUUUUUUAAUCUGUUUUCAACAAAUUUAGAUUCCUCGUAAUCAAAUAUUCCGGGAACAAACCCAACUACCAAAUUUGUUGGUUCAGUGUGCUCUAACUGAGUUAAUCCUAAACUAAAAGAAGGAGAAUCAUCCAUUUACUAAGUACUAUGUUGUUAAUUUAGUACUUGAAAUGAACGAUUCUGAAAAGAAAAAAGGGGAAUCCAGCUAUUCAAACUAUAUUUUGGUAAAGUAGGAACCCAAAAAAUUACUUAACCAAAACAUGCAACAAUUUGUUCAUUCAAAAAUCUCCAAAAUUUCGGCUAAUUAAAGAAUUUUUUUUUCUACUAACCUCAGAUCUUAAAAAAUGAGAAUGAUAAAAGAAGAUUAAGUUAAACUUGAAUAAUAGUGACUAGCAGUUGGACUCAAAUACGGUUGAUUUCAAACAUGGUAAUUGAACCUUGAUUCUAGCCUUUUUUUUUUAAGGGAAAACCCGUGAGAGAAUAAGAGAUUUCUAUGUAUAUGUACUUUUAGAAAGAGAAACUUAAAAAGUGGAAUUAUGUAAUAUGUUUAGGGAGAUGGAUUUUUUUCUAAUAAAGGAAACAUAAGUUGUUGGUUUGUGUAAUUUUUAGUUAAUUAAUUAUGGUGUUGUUAACUUAUGCCCAUUUGUUAAUGAAGCUUGAGUUUGAUAUCAUUCACGCCUUACUCCAUUAAAUCCAGUUGUUCUUUUGCCCUUUUACAACAGGUCAAUUGAUUUUUUAGUUCUUCAUAAAUGUAUAUUUAGUUUUAUAUUUUUACAAAGAGACUUUAAUUUUUACACAAAAAAUCUGGAAAUAAUACAUAAGAGAUCUUCACCACUUCAUAAUGACCACUACUAGUUUUCACAAACCACCAUGGUCGGCCGCCUUCAGCACCAAUCUUUACUAUACUAUUAACUGCUAAUCAUGACUUUCACUAAGAGGGUGUCUGGGCUAGAAAGAGUUGCUACCCAAUUUAUGGCCGAAUAUUGACAUAGGAGCACCGAGUGUGUUCCAAUCAAAAGAGGGAGUUCGAAUUUGGAGAAACAGAUUUCUGCAACCCAUACUGCCCCAAAACUUUAGCAGAAUUUGGAUAAUACGAAACAUUUAGGCAUCAUUUGAUUACAAGAAAAUUUUCGCAUCUAGCUAUUCUGACAAGAAUGAGAAAAUUUACAGGAAGGAUUAUUGAUCUUAACAAUAAGCAUUAAGCACAUGUAAAUACUUAAGCAUCAUUUGUUCACUAGAAAAAUCACCUUGUGUCAAUGUUCGAUCUUUCCAAGUACACUCUCACGUCUUACAAACUCAUUUUGUAUUCACUGUACAUGUCAAGGGUCAAGCCUCUUCCAUACCCCAACCCCUCAAACUAGUCUGUUAACAAAUGGCAGCACAGUUUAUAUUUCCAAUCUAUAAAUUCCAAGAAUAAUGUAAAGAAAUCUACUCUGUGUUCAGUAUUCCCAAGGAAUCAAAGCUGAAUCCAAGUAGUCGAGCUCCAAUAGGCAAAAUCUUCCAAACAGUAUGCAAUUCAUGUCUAGUAUCGCCUUAAUUGGUGACCCUGAUUGCUCAGAUGGGAGAGAUCAAUGUUAAAGCAGUAUCCCUCAUUGGUCGUGCAAUAUUAAAGUUGAGCAAAAAGAAUUUCAUUCCAUGUAUCUGGAACACCAGGCAAGCACCAAUGCAAGCAAUCCUGCACUCCGGGUGUUGAUUUGAUGCUGUAUCGAGAUAUAUGACCCUCAUCUCUCAGCUGAGACAAAGCCGUGAUGUCCAAAAGCUUGACAGCUGUUCCUUUUACUGCCCCUGCUGCACCAGCAUCACUGGAUUCAUCUUGUAGAACCUCCUUUCCACCAGAAAGUGGAGUGGUGUUAUCGCAGGUGCCUCCAGUGUUCCAAUCUCCAUUAAAAAAAUGCCUGGGUGAUAUAGACCGGUAAAAUGCUUUCAGACCAGGGUAUUUAGGCAGCUGUGAAUCUACCCAUUUAAUGAUAUUGUGAAUCGUAAAAUUCUUCGCACCAUCAAUAUCUGCAAUUUUCAUGUUCAUGUUAGGAACACCAUCCACAUACAUGACCCACCGGUUGGCGUUAAGCUUUCCUCUACUCCAAUGGUGUCCUGUGUUCAGCACAAGGACAUCAAACCUGGGUAGGAAACGACUCAAAAAUGCUGGCGGACAAUCAAGGUGCAUGGCAUAAUCAGUAACAGGGUUAGAAGCAUUAAUGGGUGUCAAGUUACACAGACUAGCAGACCAAUAGUAAAGAAUAGUUGUUUGGGUACUCGGAAAUCGAUAAGCCCAUCCAUCAGGUCGUACAGCAUGACGAGCCUUUACAAGACCAUAUUCACGUCCCACGUCAAGAACAUCUGGUCUGUCUUCACCACCAGUAAUCAUACACAUAAGUGACUGGAAUUGUUGUCUGCCGAGGGA
rnacentral:lncRNA from 1 species